ensembl:lncRNA
CACCGCCCGCGGGCGCCGCGCGCUCAACGUCGGCUGCCGCUGCGAGUGCCCGGAGGGUACGCAGAGCGCGUAACACACAGCACAGCACAGCACGACGCGACUCGCACACACGCUGCACUGAGGCAAUGGAAGCCCUCAGCAGCAAGCUGCUGCCACAACCUAAGAUGGAAGUGCCCGGCCGCAGCCUGUGGGCACACCGCAGCAUGCAGUCGCUGCGCCCCUUGCACACAGCAGGACACGGCCCGCUGCCACGGGUCAGCCCCACGCUGCAGCAAACAUGCAAAGAAGCCAACGGACAGAGUACCUGUUCUGUGCGUGUUCAGAGGUCAUUCAUCCUCACAGCAAAACUGAUUUCCACCUCACGAAAUACCUUCCUGUGUAUCUGUGAAAAUAUCCAGAACACACUUGGUCAGCGUUCUUCUUGUGGGCUGUUACGUGCUAAUAACAUCUGAAUAAAAUCCUGCUUCGUUUCUCACCACUGACCUUGAAAGCCUCUCAUAUUACCAUAGGGUUCUAUGAAGGAAUUCCAAAGUCUAUAAAAAUCUCAACUGCAGGGGUGCCUCAGCUCAAAACCUUGGGAAUGGACGUGUUAAUGCAGCCUGUUACCAGUAACACAGGCAUAAUGGAGCUUUCUUUACAUGGUACCAGGAUUGGACAAGAAGUAAGAACAGCUGACACACUCACUGCAAUGAGGUUUUGAGAGCCUUCUUGCCGUACCUAAAACUCGGUGUCCAGGACCUACACGAACCACACAACACGUUCCUGGUUCCUGCAGUCUGCUGGCAGGUACUGAAACACAUUAACAGUAAUACUUACAUUUAUUUGUGGGGUUUUUUUGUUUGUUUUUAAGGAGCAUAAAUAAAAGGAAUAUAUAUUUUUAAUCCUAUGUGCAAAUUACCCAAAGACAGAUGAAGUAAUUGUGGAAUUGCCCACCAGCAAAAUCACUGUUUCAUUAGGCAGGGAGCAACAAGAGCUCAUUCACAUGUAGUGUUUUCCUGGAUUACCCAGUGCCAGCAUAAAAUCCUUGGGACUAACUGAGAUUUUGUUUCAUGCCUAUUGCUAAAGAAAAUGAACAAUAAAUCCAGUAUUUCAGUUAUUUACUGAUUACGUCAAUGAACUCAACGAAACAAAAAAUUGGUUCAGAGGAUAUACAGCCACAUCUGUGAGCACGUCUUCACCCAAAAUAUACCUCAUUUACGUCAUGGGGCAUAUUUGUCAACAGAACAGCCAGAACCCUGGGACCUGGCAGCUCC